GACGAACGCUGGCGGCGUGCCUAAUACAUGCAAGUAGGACGCAGUUGCGAACGUGUGAGUAACGCGUAGGUAACUACCUAUUAGAGGGGGCUAACUAUUGGAAACGAUAGCUAAUACCGCAUACUAGUAGAUGGACCUGCGUUGUAUUAGCUAGUAGGUAGGGUAAAGGCCUACCUAGGCAACGAUACAUAGCCGACCUGAGAGGGUGAUCGGCCAGACUUGGACUGGGACAAGGGCCAGACUCCUACGGGAGGCAGCAGUAGGGAAUCUUCGGCAAUGGGGGGAAACCUGACCGAGCAACGCCGCGUGAGGGAAGAAGGUUUUCGGAUCGGAAAGCUCUGUUGUUAAGGAAGCGGUACUUAACCAGAAAGGGACGGCUAACUACGUGCCAGCAGCCGCGGUAAUUC
rnacentral:rRNA from 1 species